UUGAAUUUUUUCAUUUAAAAUUGAAUUGAAAAAAUGAUACUAUUCAAUAGGAACCAAGCGGCGCCUCUGACCAUGACAUAUGAAUUCUAUUUCUCGUCGUACUACACGCCACGCGAACUCGACGCAUCUAUCAACUCAGUUUUUUCGAAAACGAAGCCUUAAGUGAAAAAAUGUUCUUUUCUCUUCGACUUAUUUUUCCAUGUAGAAUCACUAUCCGGACAGAUGUACCAAGAUUUUCGGUACACCCUGUAUAAUAAUAGAUCUAAAUACAUUCGCGCGCGACUCCUACACGGUUGAGGCAUGAAAUAUUCAUGAGAUUGAAAAUUUACAGGAAUCAUUCAUUGUGACUACACAAGGGAUGCGGUUGGAAAUGCUUCAAGUUCCAUAGAAAGAGUAUCUAUUUAAAAAAGAAGAGGGUAUCUAGAAAAGGAUUUAUCUAUCUAACGAAUGAGCUAAUGUAAUUUAUAGGUAGCGAAAGGAUUAACACGUGCGUCAUUCAGGAAGGAAGAAGCUUUGGUUCGAUACAGAUUGAAGGUUCUAGGAAGAGAGAACGAGUUCGAGGGAAACGCUCGACGAUGCUCGCUAGGUGGAAACACAUUGUUCCGAAUAAAUCGAGUAACCCAAAUAAACCGGUACGGCGUAAAAAGCACGAUUAAUUUGCGAGCGAGCGCGUUCGGGGAAAUCAACGCAGUGGAUUUCCAGGGAGACACGAGGCGCGGUGCGAACGCGUUACCGUCCCUGAAAAAAGAGAUUGCUCUUCCUAAAAAUGCAUGCUGCACGCUGCACGCAGCGCGCGGCGAACGACGCGUCGAGGUCGAGACAGAUUGCCGCAGGACAGUUACUAGUUGCAACAUUCCGUAUGUUGCAACGUGUUUAGUGUUUUCGUCCGUAUUCAAGGCGAUACGGUGCCGUUUAUUUCUGGCUUUGUUAUCGGGAGUCGGUCUUUCGGCGCUAACAAUCAUCGAGAAUAGAAGAGACGGAAUAAACGUUAAGCGGUAAAUCAUCACUUCGGACUGGUUCAGACAGGUCAUCUCGAGAACAACGAAUCCCGUUUUUAGAAAUAACAAAACGAAAUACAAAAUUGUACACUGUUCUACCAACGGUUUAUUUCGAAGCGUUCCGUAUACAUGCUCCGCGUUCGACGCGAUGUGCAGAGGCAGAUCGUUGCGCACACGCGCAACGUCGUACGCCCACGUUAUUAUCGAGCAAACGGGCAACGAAGAUAGAACAAAGAAAUCCGAAUCUUUUCGGUGGAUCUUCCCUUCGUUUCGUUUUCCCGAUCAGAUACGCCGUUGUUCUCUUCUUCUUCUUCAGGGAUUUCCUAUAUUCUCGAGGCACGCUCUCGGUUAUGGGACACCGUAUCCUACGUUGACGGCCGAGCACUUGUUUUCAUUUUCAUUUCGCCGAGCUACCUCGUACUGAUCCCUUCUAACGAGGUCAGCCAAUUACGAGUUUCUGGUCCCGCAACGGUUCAUUUUCCGUGGACCGAAACGAUUUUGUCCACUUCUUCUUUUCUUUUCUUUUUCUCACGGAAACGGAAACCAACAAUGAUCGCGACAACGAAAACUACAAGGAAAAAGGAAUUACCUGUGGCCUAACUCGCGUUUAUCAGUUCGUGUACCCUGUCUGUCGCCCUCGUUGUAGCAAUCCAGUUCAUUUUCCGUGGACCAAAACGAUUUUGUCCACUUCUUCUUUUCUCUUUUUUUUCUCACGGAAACGGAAACCAACAAUGAUCGCGACAACGAAAACUACAAGGAAAAAGGAAUUAUCUGUGGCCUAACUCGCAUUUAUCAGUUCGUGUACCCUGUCUGUCGCCCUCGUUGUAGCAAUCCAGUUCAUUUUCCGUGGACCAAAACGAUUUUGUCCACUUCUUCUUUUCUUUUCUUUUUCUCACGGAAACGGAAACCAACAAUGAUCGCGACAACGAAAACUACAAGGAAAAAGGAAUUAUCUGUGGCCUAACUCGCAUUUAUCAGUUCGUGUACCCUGUCUGUCGCCCUCGUUGUAGCAAUCCAGUUCAUUUUCCGUGGACCAAAACGAUUUUGUCCACUUCUUCUUUUCUUUUUUUUUUCUCACGGAAACGGAAACCAGCAAUGAUCGCGACAACGAAAACUACAAGGAAAAGGUAAUUACCUGUGGCCUAACUCGCGUUUAUCAGUUCGUGUACCCUGUCUGUCGCCCUCGUUGUAGCAAUCCAGGUCCUGCUCGCUACGAUCGUUCCUGGUCAUGGCAUUCAAAUCAAAACCGAGGAUCGACGGGUGAAACGACUCCCCAGGAAAGAUGUCGGGCUCAUCCGAGAAUUGAAUUUUCCAGCCUGCUUUCAACAACAUUUCAAUUUCAUGAUUAACUGGCCGGGUUGGUUUAGCUCGAGUCAACCGGAAGACGUUUCAAACGAAGUCAAGACGAUUCAACUAAUGAUAAUGUUUGCUUCGUGACAGGGUGUAGAGUUUCCCCCUAUUUAUUUUUGCUAGUUUGUACAUCGUUCGCGACUCUGAAUGACGACUUGGAAUUCAUUUUUUCGUAAGAACGAUAAACGAACGAAGAGAAAUCAAAUAUAGAUCGAAAUGAUUCAAUGGAAAAUAGCAAGCAAAUAAACAGUAGACAUAUGGUGGAAAUAUCUCUGGACAGAAUUGAUACAUAAUUAUGCAAAUAUUAUUUUGAUAUCGUCCGUAUUCUAUUUUCCAUUUUCUAUCAUCUAUUUUCAAUAUUCUACGUUCUAUGUUCCCCUCGGUGGGUACGAUCUUCGUCAAAUGAAUCUCAACGAAAUGCAGAAUACAAAUUGAAAGAAAAAAUUACCGGUCUUGAUUAGAGGCGCGAGCUCGUCCACAUUUCGGCGGCUCAUCGUGAAGCAGUUGGGAGAACUUGAUAACGAAAUCACUGGUCCGACGAUGUUUCACACUUUUGCGUGUUUUGCGUGCAGCACGGCGAUGCGAACAGUGACGACGUAGUGAUCGAUUGCUAAUGAAGAUUUUGGGCUGCUUCGCUCGCAGCCGACACAAUACUUGGCAAAUACUUGGCCGGAAUAGCAACAAAGAUAAGAAGGUUGCAGGGGUCAUUCAUGUGACGAUAAUAGGCAGGAAGGAAAAAUACACAGAGCGAGGGCAAUGUCGUCAGUGAUGAAAGAAAGAGACAACUCCAUUUUACCAUACAAUAAAAAGGGGAGAAGUUCGAUGCGAUGAGAAGUGCAUCUUGCAGUGUAUUGUCUUGUUGUGUUCUUGCACCGUGUAAACGGGGAAAUUCUGAAUGGGUUUUAAUCUUCGCCUAACUCAGCCCUGGAUCGUUUCUAUAUUAUACUUUGUCGGUAAAGGAACAAAAAUCAAAAAUCAAAAAUAAAGACCGCGGAACAAAACUUGAAAUUAUUUUCCUUCCUUUGGUCGGAUAGAGUUUCCGACGACAUGCGAAUAUGUUCGAAUUUGUUUUGAUAAUGCGCGACGGUCAUCGUUGCGUAACAAAAUUUCAACGAUCUCUUUUAUGCUCGGAAAUGCGGAGGAAAUACAGGGGAAAUACCGGAGGAAAUAAGGAGAAAUUUGGAACCGGAUCCCCGCAGCGAAUCGAUAAGCCGUGGGCGUAGAUAACAUACCGGAUGUGCAUAUUAUAAUAUACAACGAACAAUAAUAUAAUAAGUUGAUUAACUCGAGCAACGUCCGGCAGAAAAUAUUUUCACGAUUCGAACGACUAUGAAACCGGAUAGCAAAAAUUAGUCAUUUCAACCAAUCCGGUAGUUCUAAUGUUAAGUUGAACAAGUUAUUUUCGUGCAUGUGAUCGAGCCGCUUCUGACAGUGCGUAGGUGGUUUCGGCUGGCCUUGAACAUCUUAUGAAUAAUAUCAUCGAAAAUGUGGUCGCUUUCUGCGCGGUACAUGUGUAGAUAGCAGGCUUUUAGCAAUAAACGUACGCACACAGUUUUUCUGA